AGUAACUUGUAAGUUUAGAUAAAAUAAAAGCAGCAAAUUAUUGCAUGCACAUACAGUACAAAGUAUGAUUAUUUAUUUAGAUUUCAGAAUGAGCACGUUUGUCAUUAAUACUAAAUAUCCUGCGGUCUGUCUGCUGAUCUGAUACUGUAAUGAAGAUGAAUGUAUAAUAACUGAUUAAAAACUAAAAUGUACAACCUUCAGUAAAUAACUAUGUACAUGCUUAGGACGUUUGUGUUGUAAUAAUGUACAGGGUAACUUCAGACAUAAAAACGAAGACUAUUAAAGUGAUGUUUUAUCAUUAAAAUCUGAUCGCGUCCAUUGAUUUAAUAGAAUGUUUAGGUAUACCAACAUGGCGGUGCGGUGGCUUCACAGUUGUGACGUCAUGCGCAAUCCAGUCAUUUAUAUAGAUCAGUGGUUUAGAUCCAUUAAUGCUAUUGUGCAGUGCAGUCAUAAUAAUGUCUAAGUGUAAUACUGUUAAUGAUAUGAUGCUUCAGAGACUUACUCAUGUUGUUGUGUUUCUUUUUCUCUACUCUGCUUGUGUCUAAACAGCAGCACACACCAAAGGCUGUUGUAGGAGCCACAGACGGAGUGGAGGGUAGUUUUGGCUUUUAGCUAAAUACACACCAAAGGCUCUUGUAGGAUCUACAGACGGAGCGGAGUGCAAGUUUGACUUUCAGCUAAAUACACACCAAAGGCUGUUGUAGGAGCCACAGACGGAGGGGGCGUAAUUUUGGCUUUGUAAGUAUAUUUUUGGCAUUUGGAAUUUGGCAAUUCUCAGGCAUUUUCUCAGUUUUUAUGUUUAGAUCAAUCAAUGAUAGCGUGCAGUGCAGUCAUAAUAAUGUCUAAAGCACUAUUCCGACGGGAUUAGUUUUCAACGUGUCCCCCAGGACGUCUGUGAUUUUAUGUACUGAUUCGGACGGGAUUAAAAUGAUGCAGGCUAUUCCAGAGAUGGGAGUGUCUGUUUCAUGCAUUUGGACGUUGCAGUAGCAUGUGCUCUGGAUACGCGUGUUUGUAAUGUUUAAUAUUUUGCUUUAAAUGUAAAAUUAUGACAGAACAUGUAAUUUAUUAAUUUAAUUUUAACAAAUUAAAAUAAAAUAUACAAAUC